rnacentral:rRNA from 1 species
UGCGUAGGCGGAUUAAUAAGUCAGUGGUGAAAACCUGCAGCUUAACUGUAGAACUGCCAUUGAUACUGUUAGUCUUGAGUACGGUCAAGGUAGGCGGAAUGUGUAAUGUAGCGGUGAAAUGCUUAGAUAUUACACAGAACACCGAUUGCGAAGGCAGCUUACUGGGCCAUUGCUGACGCUGAGGCACGAAAGCGUGGGUAGCGAACAGGAUUAGAUACCCUGGUAGUC